UACAGAGGUCUCAAGCGUUGUUCGGAUUCAUUGGGCGUAAAGAGCUCGUAGGCGGUGUGUCACGUCGGCCGUGAAAACCUGCAGCUUAACUGUGGGCGUGCGGUCGAUACGGGCAUCACUGGAGUUCGGCAGGGGAGACUGGAAUUCCUGGUGUAGCGGUGAAAUGCGCAGAUAUCAGGAGGAACACCGGUGGCGAAGGCGGGUCUCUGGGCCGAUACUGACGCUGAGGAGCGAAAGCGUGGGGAGCGAACAGG
rnacentral:rRNA from 1 species